AGAUACUCUGGCAGGUUAAAAUGCUCUGAUGUUCCACAUGAUAAGAACAUCUACCACCAAAGGAGUUGGUGAAAAUCAAUCAGUGAUGGAUGAAACUAGAGUCUCAUGGGGAGUCAAGACUAUCUUAGUUGAUCAAGCAGAAGAGUACUAGAUUUUCUCGAUUUUUCUGCAGAAUAUUUUUCCACCAGAGACUAAACAAUGAAUACUGUUUGGCCGAAACCUUUGAACACUAAUGAAGGCCACCUCCAACUUAUCCUAACAUCAUACACUCAUAUAGGAGACCCUGAAUCUGUGUUUAUACCAACAAACAUCCCCAGGGUUGAAGAUGGAUUAUCCGACAGUGAGGAGGAGCAGUUCCAAAGAAAAACACUAUUUAAAGAUGCAACUACAGUAAGGAAAACAGUUUCAGCUGGCAGUCAUGCCUCAGAGGCCAGGCCUUGUAUGAUGUUGUGGUCUCAGCACCAUGCACCCCACCCUAAGCUGGCACAUCAGGGUGAACUUUGCUCGGAGGCCAAGACAAACACACUCAU